AUCUCAUCUGAUUACCAAAGUUAAGCAAAGUGAAGCCUGGUCAGUACCUAGGUGGGUGACCACUUGGGAAUACCUGAUGCUGUAA